rnacentral:rRNA from 1 species
CCUACGGGUGGCAGCAGUGGGGAAUCUUCGGCAAUGGGCGCAAGCCUGACCCAGCAACGCCGCGUGAAGGAAGAAGGCUUUCGGGUUGUAAACUUCUUUUAAGAGGGAAGAGCAGAAGACGGUACCUCUUGAAUAAGCCACAGCUAACUACGUGCCAGCAGCCGCGGUAAUACGUAGGUGGCAAGCGUUGUCCGGAUUUACUGGGUGUAAAGGGCGUGCAGCCGGGAAGACAAGUCAGAUGUGAAAGCCCGCGGCUCAACCGGGGAACUGCAUUUGAAACUGUUUAUCUUGAGUACCGGAGAGGUGAGCGGAAUUCCAUGUGUAGCGGUGGAAUGCGUAGAUAUAAGGAAGAACACCAGUGGCGAAGGCGGAUGACUGGACGGCAACUGACGGUGAGGCGCGAAAGCGUGGGGAGCGAACAGGAUUAGAUACCCUUGUAGUC